rnacentral:tRNA from 1 species
UCCCUGGUGGCUCAAUUGGUAAAGAAUCCACCUGCAAUGUGGGAGACCUGGGUUCGAUCCCUGGGUUGGGAA